UUCUCAAAUUAUGCAAUUUUUGGCUUAGACACAGCAUGGAAUCAGAUAAGAGAAUAGCCAGUCCCUAUCAGUCCUCCAUCUAAGCCUAACUAAGGGGUGUUGAUAUACUUUUGAUUUGUUCAGGCACCAUCUAUUUGAGAACCACUGAUGGGAAGUUAUUUUUUUGAAAACAAGCAGCAUCAGCAACUGACUUUAAGCUAGAAUUAAGACUUAUUAUUCUAGUGUAAAAUGUCUUGAAAUACUUUCAGCAUGAAGUAUUGUGUGAUGAAAAAAUGUGUAUUUACUACAAUGUGUAAAUCAACAAUAAGUUUGUUGCAAAGGAGAUUAAAAGUGGGUGGUUAAAGACAUAUAAAGUGAUAUGGUCUAGUUCAACAACUGCCUGUAUUUUUGGAAUACUGAAGAACAGUCUGUUGUAACAGGUUAAACCCCAUGGUGACCGUGAAAUUUACAUUGAUCAGAAGAUCCUUUGGAAAGAAUGUGCAUCAUCGCA